rnacentral:rRNA from 1 species
AGUGAACGCUGGCGGUAGGCCUAACACAUGCAAGUCGAACGGCAGCACAGUAAGAGCUUGCUCUUACGGGUGGCGAGUGGCGGACGGGUGAGGAAUACAUCGGAAUCUACUUUUUCGUGGGGGAUAACGUAGGGAAACUUACGCUAAUACCGCAUACGACCUACGGGUGAAAGCAGGGGAUAUUCGGACCUUGCGCGAUUGAAUGAGCCGAUGUCGGAUUAGCUAGUUGGCGGGGUAAAGGCCCACCAAGGCGACGAUCCGUAGCUGGUCUGAGAGGAGGAUCAGCCACACUGGAGCUGAGACACGGUCCAGACUCCUACGGGAGGCAGCAGUGGGGAAUAUUGGACAAAGGGCGCAAGCCUGAUCCAGCCAUACCGCGUGGGUGAAGAAGGCGUUCGGGUUGUAAAGCCCUUUUGUUGGGAAAGAAAAGCAGCAGGUUAAUACCCCGCUGUUCUGACGGUACCCAAAGAAUAAGCACCGGCUAACUUCGUG